rnacentral:rRNA from 1 species
UCUGGUUGAUCCUGCCGGACCUGACUGCUAUCGGAUUGGUACUAAGCCAUGCGAGUCAUUGUAGCAAUACGAGGCGGACGGCUCAGUAACACGUAGUCAACCUAACUCGUGGACGUGGAUAACCUCGGGAAACUGAGAAUAAACCACGAUAGAUCAUAGUGCCUGGAAUGGCUUAUGGUCCAAACAGUUUACUGCCAUGGGAUGGGACUGCGGCCUAUCAGCUUGUUGGUGAGGUAAUGGCCCACCAAGGCGAUUACAGGUACGGGCUCUGAGAGGAGAAGCCCGGAGAUGGGUACUGAGGCACGGACCCAGGCCCUAUGGGGCGCAGCAGGCGAGAAACCUUAACAAUGUGCGAAAGCACGACUGGGUCAGUCCGAGUGAUUCCUGAUAAAGGAGUCUUUUGCUUGUCCUAAAAGCACAGGUGAAUAAGGGGUGGGCAAGUCUGGUGUCAGCCGCCGCGGUAAUACCAGCACCUCGAGUGGUCAGGACGUUUAUUGGGCCUAAAGCAUCCGUAGCCGGCUUUGCAAGUCUUCGGUUAAAUCCACCUGCUCAACAGAUGGGCCGCUGGAGAUACUACAAAGCUAGGGAGUGGGAGAGGCAGACGGUAUUCAGUGGGUAGGGGUAAAAUCCUCUGAUCCAUUGAGGACCACCAGUGGCGAAGGCGGUCUGCCAGAACACGUUCGACGGUGAGGGAUGAAAGCUGGGGGAGCAAACCGGAUUAGAUACCCGGGUAGUCCCAGCUGUAAACGAUGCAAACUCGGUGAUGCAUUGGCUUAUGGCCAAUGCAGUGCCGCAGGGAAGCCGUUAAGUUUGCCGCCUGGGAAGUACGGACGCAAGUCUGAAACUUAAAGGAAUUGGCGGGGGAGCACCACAAGGGGUGAAGCCUGCGGUUCAAUUGGACUCAACGCCGGG